AUGGGGUGGAAGGGAAGCAACAAUCAUCAGUGCACGAGCCGUCUCAAGCAAAUGACGAUGCUUGCGCUCGGCAACGCCAUUCUGAGCAUGAGCACCAGGAUAAGAGAACUGGGCAAGAGUACCCUGUUCCGCGAGAAAACCACACAACAGCUGAGAGAUAUACUCUCCAGCGGAGUCAGCACGAAACGUAUGAAUGGGCGUGGCAAACUGGGUGUGAACCAUGGCAGCAAAACGUUUGUAUAUAGGAAGAACCUUGCUACGAGAUUUCAUGAAGUAGAGCCAAGUGUAGCGAGAGAAAUCAUCAAUAAACAAGACAUAAUAGCGUUGACCACCUUUCGAAUCAAAGGGAGCAGGACCCCAGACAUCAGAAUGAACUAA
rnacentral:rRNA from 1 species